GAUGAACGCUGGCGGCGUGCUUAACACAUGCAAGUCGAGCGAAGCACUUUCACAGAUUUCUUCGGAUUGAAGUGGAUUUGACUGAGCGGCGGACGGGUGAGUAACGCGUGGGGAACCUGCCCCAUACCGGGGGAUAACAGCUGGAAACGGCUGCUAAUACCGCAUAAGCGCACGAGGAGGCAUCUCCUUGUGUGAAAAACUCCGGUGGUAUGGGAUGGACCCGCGUUGGAUUAGCCAGUUGGCGGGGUAACGGCCCACCAAAGCGACGAUCCAUAGCCGGCCUGAGAGGGCGACCGGCCACAUUGGGACUGAGACACGGCCCAAACUCC
rnacentral:rRNA from 1 species